GACGAACGCUGGCGGCGUGCCUAAUACAUGCAAGUAGAACGCUGAAGGAGGAGCUUGCUCUUCUGGAUGAGUUGCGAACGGGUGAGUAACGCGUAGGUAACCUGCCUGGUAGCGGGGGAUAACUAUUGGAAACGAUAGCUAAUACCGCAUAAGAGUAGAUGUUGCAUGACAUUUGCUUAAAAGGUGCACUUGCAUCACUACCAGAUGGACCUGCGUUGUAUUAGCUAGUUGGUGGGGUAACGGCUCACCAAGGCGACGAUACAUAGCCGACCUGAGAGGGUGAGCGGCCACACUGGGACUGAGACACGGCCCAGACUCCUACGGGAGGCAGCAGUAGGGAAUCUUCGGCAAUGGACGGAAGUCUGACCGAGCAACGCCGCGUGAGUGAAGAAGGUUUUCGGAUCGUAAAGCUCUGUUGUAAGAGAAGAACGAGUGUGAGAGUGGAAAGUUCACACUGUGACGGUAUCUUAACAGAAAGGGACGGCUAACUACGUG
rnacentral:rRNA from 1 species